rnacentral:rRNA from 1 species
UACAGAGGUCUCAAGCGUUGUUCGGAUUCAUUGGGCGUAAAGGGUGCGUAGGUGGCGCGCUAAGUCAGGUGUGAAAUCUCGGGGCUUAACUCCGAAACUGCAUUCGAUACUGCCGUGCUUGAGGACUGGAGAGGAGACUGGAAUUUACGGUGUAGCGGUGAAAUGCGUAGAUAUCGUAAGGAAGACCAGUGGCGAAGGCGGGUCUCUGGACAGUUCCUGACGCUGAGGCGCGAAGGCCAGGGGAGCAAACGGG